CGCGAAUUGCUCAUUACAACAGCCUUAGUUUAUUGGAUCUUAGAGUCCUACUUGGAUAACUGUGGUAAUUCUAGAGCUAAUACACGCAAUUAAUCCUCAACCUUACGGGCGAGGAGCAUUUAUUAGAACAAAACCAAUCGGCUUCGGCCGUAUCUGGUGAAUCUGAAUAACUACGCUGAUCGCAUGGUCUCGUACCGGCGACAUAUCCUUCAAGUGUCUGCCUUAUCAACUGUCGAUGGUGGUUUACACGCCUACCAUGGUUGUAACGGGUAACGGAGAAUAAGGGUUCGACUCCGGAGAGGGAGCCUGAGAAACGGCUACCACAUCCAAGGAAGGCAGCAGGCGCGCAAAUUACCCACUCUCAGAACGAGGAGGUAGUGACGAAAAAUAACGAGACAGUUCUCUAUGAGGUCUGUCAUCGGAAUGGGUACAAUUUAAACCCUUUAACGAGGAUCUAUUGGAGGGCAAGUCUGGUGCCAGCAGCCGCGGUAAUUCCAGCUCCAAUAGCGUAUAUUAAAGUUGUUGCGGUUAAAAAGCUCGUAGUUGGAUCUGCGGUCGUAGACUCUGGUUCCCUCCUAGGGAUACUAGCUGUCUCGACCUACCUUGUUAGAUUUCCCUUGGUGCUCUUUACUGAGUGCCUUGGGUGUCUAGCUCGUUUACUUUGAAAAAAUUAGAGUGCUUAAAGCAGGCAUUUGCCUGAAUAGUGGUGCAUGGAAUAAUGGAAUAGGACCUCGGUUCUAUUUUGUUGGUUUUCGGAGCAUGAGGUAAUGAUUAAGAGGGACAGACGGGGGCAUUCGUACUGCUACGUUAGAGGUGAAAUUCUUGGAUCGUAGCAUGACGAACAACUGCGAAAGCAUUUGCCAAGAAUGUUUUCAUUAAUCAAGAACGAAAGUUAGAGGUUCGAAGGCGAUCAGAUACCGCCC
rnacentral:rRNA from 1 species